UGUUCGUCAAUGAUUUGUGGAGCUUUGCAAAUUGCAAUAGCGAUAAAAUUCUACUGUUUGGAUUAAUGUUUUAUAAAUGAUAACGAUUUUAUAAAAAUAUAUACAUAAUUACAGACAGAAUAUGAAUAUUAUCAUGCAAUAUUAUAUUUAAUAAAAAGCAAGAUAUUAUACUGCAGGAUCACUCAAACCGUGCAUUAAUAUUUUACAUCUUUACGUUGAGUAAGAUACCACUUGUGACAUUUUACACCAACAAAAAAGGGGCAUUUUAUCUCGACACUAGAAAAAAUAAUGUUGAAAAUUUCCAUAUCAAACAUGUGCUAUUAAUAAUCAUUUUAGAGAUUAUAAAAUUUAUUUGAUAUUGAACUUCAAUGUCACCCACUGUGAUAUAAAGCCUACAAAGGAUUAAUAUGAAUUCUAAAUCAUGUAAAACAAUAACGGAGCAGUAUUUUUUCAAUUUACCUCGAUAAAUCUAAAGUUUUUUAAAAUAAAUGAGCAGCCAUUGUGAUAUGGUCGUUGGCACACAAAUAAAUAAUCUAAGCGUGUCACUAACGUCGUUCAUGCAUAAAUGAGAAAAUUAUUAGUAAUUGACAUUUUACCUGAUAUAGCGUCUUCCCCCUGACUUACCCUGUUGAAAACUUAAAGUGCUUAUAAAAAAAAAAAAUAAAAAUAAAAAUUUUUUUAUCGCUUCAAUAUUUUUCUCUUUGUCAUAUAUUACAUAAAUGCCAUACGUUCCUAGACAACAUAUAGUUAAAAAUUGUUAUAUUUUUAAAAGUUAUACUUUGAUCUUUUGCAAAAAUAUAAAACACAAAGCUAUAAAAUUUUGAUUUUUUGCAAAAGUAUCUGUAACAUGUCUUUUAGACAUCUUUAAAAAGUUGUACCUCCCGAUUUCAGACUUUAUAUUGUUUGGAUUUCCCUUACAACAUAUAUAAAAACAUACCACUUCUUGAAAUAACUUUUGGUCCAGACAGAAAAUUGCCGCUAAAUUUUUAUGACUUUCAAAUGCAAUAUAGAACAAUCUGUACAUUUUUCACAAUUUUUUUCAUUAUUUUAAAAAUGGGUGUAUUAUAUGUUUAACCGAUCGAUCACAUGUGCUCGUGGUAGAAAAGAAAAGAGAAAUCUUCGGCGUUCUAAACGUGCGCGUUCGUAAACGCAGCACUCGGGCCAGCGAUUUUUAUAUCCGGGUGGGUUUGCGCUCUCGCCACCCUUGGUGAAAAUAAGUCCCGGUCUACAAUGAAUGUUGUAAGCCUUAAGCCGUAAGAAAUUGAUCAACCAUGAUCGAUUAUUCUCCUCAUAUUCAAUUAUGAUUGGUCAAUUUUUUACUACGUUUAAUAUUGUAAACCGGGACUUAAAGCGUAAAGCGAGGAUUGGAACGUCGGGACGUAAGGAUAGCGAUAUGGAAAGAGCGAUGAGAGCGUGAGCGAACUCUUUAAGAAGCGUAAGCUGGAACAUCGGAGCGUAAAGACGCUUGUAUGACGUUUGUAUGACGCUUGUAUGACGCUUCAAGGAGUUUUCUAUUUUUUUCCCGAGACGCGUCGCGACAACGUACGGCGCCGAGGGGUUUCCGUAAGCCUCAGAGAUCUCGAUAAACAACGGGGGCGGGUGUGGAGAGGUGCAUAUACCGGAGGGGGCAGAAGAUAAGCGCGGAAGUUAAAAGUAGCGAGGGCAGGCGAGCACCGCCGCCCGGCCGUGUGUGCCUCUCUACUCUAUCGUUCCACAAACAGCAGAACCGCCUUGCCGAGCAUCAUUUGUCAAGGCAGAAGCUACUCGACGUCCCGAUAAUUUUUUAUUAUGCAAGUAGGCCGCAAUAAAUCCUUAUCUAACCGCAUUUCCCGCCGCGGCGCGUCACACGAAUUACCGUUCGUGUUGCGCAAAAAGCACGACCCGAUUAGCGAUAUUCACCGUAAAUGGCGUCGCGAUGAUUGCGGAGGGAGGAAAAUUGCGGGAGCUCCAAUGUCGUUACGACGACGAUACUUAAGCCGGUAUUUAUAGUUAAUUCUUAUUUCAAGACAGUCUUAAGUAAUGUCUUAUGAAGCCAAUACUGCUCUUUAAUUGGCUGAUGACAUCUUAAGAUGGUACCUAAACUGAUUAUGAAUACCGGCCUUAGGGAUGUACGAUUUGGAUCGAUUUUUUAAAGAAUCGAUCUUCUUGACCCCAAAAAUCGAUUUUUUUUAUCUCAAUUAAAUUUGCAGAUUGAUUCUUUCGUGAAAAAAAUCAAAUUGAUAACAAGCGUAAUUAUUUAUUUUAUUUAUGGCUAAAGUUGCAUUCUGAAAUUCAGAAUGCAAGAAGUUCGAUUCUUGAAAACAUGCGAAUAACUUUCGCAUACAAAACUAGUAGUAUAGCGCAUAGCUAAUGAAAUUAUUUAAUAGCAUUUUUCCAUCGGCUAUUGUGUCACUUUUGUAUGCAAAAGUAUAUAUUAUAUUAAACGACAAAUAUAUUUAACGUUAUUUUUUUAUAAAUUAGCAGUGAUUUUUAUUUAAGUUAAGUUAGAUUAGAUUGAUUUUUUAAGAAUCGAUUAUUUGGCGCUCGAUUUUUUUCAUGAAUCGAUCUUCGUGAUUACGAUCCAGAUCGAUUUAAAAAGAAUCGAUCGGUCGAAUACUACAUCCCUACAUCCCUAACGAUCAUACUCGACGACGAUUGUGGUACGUGUGUGUCACUGGCGUCGCAUCACGCCAGAAGGACUCCGAAUGCGAUCUUUCGCGCAUACGCCGAAAAUCCGAGCUGGCCGCGCGUGAAUCCGCGCGCCGGCAUCGAGCGAUAUGCCGGCGCGUAUCCGUUGCGCAAGGUCAAGGCCUCCGCGAGACCCGGCGAGUGACGCGGCGCGUUGCGCCGCGCCACGUCUCUCUCUCUCUCUCCCUCUCUCUCUUUCUAUCUCUCUCUCUCUUCGGCUUAAGAUCGGCGUCAGUCAGGGCUUCGCGUGGCCGUCGCCGAGACGUCGAGACGCUCGCGCGUCCAAGUGAAACGCGUCUCGAUUACGAGCGGGCAAAUAGUGUAGGUAUUCGUCGCGAAGAAACACCAUCCGUGCUUCGCGUUCUCCUGACAAGCGUGAAACAUCUUCGGAGCAGUGCACGAUCCGCAAAAGACGCGUAAUAACGCGAGAGUAUUUCUGGCGAGAGAGAGAGAGAGAGAGAGAGAGAGAGAGAGAGAAGGAGAGAGAAUUUCCGCAGAAACACACGGGGUGCAUCGGCGUAACAAAACGCGCGGCGACUUGCAGCGUGCGACGCCGCUGCGCUGCUGAGGGUUUUUCCCGUUCGCACGGACCGUGAUUCGACGCGUGAGAGAGAGAGGGCCCAGUCCAGGAUUCCCUCUAUCCCAAACCGGAAAGCGCACGAUCGCAGCUGAGUUUUCUUUCGUUCGGUCCUCACCAAAUACCAAGUGUUGCGAGGGACAGUUCCUAACGAUCCGCGACAGCGAGGUGUCUCAUGGUGCCGCCGAUUCCUCCACGCGUGGGACAUGGACCGCCACCAGCGGCAGCUGUCAUUGUAGCGCGCGUGACGUCUUGGCGCCUAAGCGGUAUGAGUCACGCUUAAUUAUUGGGUUUGACGUUUUAGUGAUUUGUAGCCGCGACACUUGUUAUCCCUCAUUUCGGAUCGCGCCAGUCGCAGCCGGGUCCAUCCAGUUGGAGAAUUAGCCAUUCUUCGCGCGCCAUCGAACCGGUCGGCAGAAGGUUUUCUUUUCCUCCUCGUGUCUCGUUACGACCGUCUUGAAAUUACGUUCGUUUUAAGCUCGUGAAAUCG